ACUUAAAUAGCUUAAUUAGAGCAUGACACUGAAGUUGUUAAGGUAAUUAUUAUAUUUUUAAGUA
rnacentral:tRNA from 1 species